rnacentral:rRNA from 1 species
UACGUAGGGGGCAAGCGUUGUCCGGAUUUAUUGGGCGUAAAGAGCGUGUAGGCGGCCAGGUAGGUCUGCUGUGAAAACUCGAGGCUAACCUCGAGCUGUCGGCGGAAACCAUCUGGCUAGAGUCCGGAAGAGGAGAAUGGAAUUCCCGGUGGUGAGCGGUGAAAUGCGCAGGAUAAUCGGGGAAGAACACCCGUGGCGAAGGCGG